rnacentral:lncRNA from 1 species
AGUAGUGUGAUCGCAGUUCACCACAAGCCUCAAACUCCUGGGAUCAAGCCUUCCUCCCGCCUCAGCUUUCUGUGUAGCUGGGACUACAGUCACAUGCCACCACACCCACCUAAUUUUUUUAUUUCUAUUUUGUAGAGACAAGGUCUUGCUAUGUUGCCCAGACUGGUCUCAGACUCCUGAGCUCAAGCGAUCCCCCUUCCUUGGCCUCCCAAAGCCCUGGUAUUAGAAGCAUGAGCCACCACACUCAUGGCUAACAAUAUUUUUGAUCACCUCAAUUUCUCUGAUACACAUACUAUCACAGAUCAUUUCCCCUUAAUGUGCCGUAAAAUAAUUACCCAAAUGAUGAACAUUUACAUUUUAAAAUUCAAGGAGCUCCCAGUAGUCAAUAAUUCCAAAGCAACAGAGAUUAGUCUUGCUAUUGUUCUGUUUUUCUAAAGAAUCUCACACGUCAUCCACACCAGUUCUACAUUUGUGGGCUUGCUAUGUUUGAGGCGCUACAGCUGCUUUGUGCAGGGCAUCAAAGAUGAAUGAGACCAGUUCCUGCUGGUAAGGAUCUCCAGAUAUGCAGUGAAGUGAGGAGCUACUACUGUCUGUGCACACUACAACGAGAGCAUUGGCCUCCACUAUGAUUUUACAGCACGUCAAGGCUGCUCCACUGUCAGCAACUGACGCUUCCCUCUUCCUGGACUCUUCUUCCCUGUGAAAUUUAAAAGGUUGAUUUCUCUCCAUCAUCCAGGUCUCAGCUCGUAUUCCUCUUCAAGGAUAGCAUCCUUACUAUCUGGUAUUAAGUAGCUUACUGUAUCACUUUAUUCUUGCUGCUCUAACAAAUUACCACAAGUUCAGUGGCCCACAACAACUUGAAUUUAUAAUCCUUUUUUAAAACUUUUUUUUAUUUUAGAGACGUGAUCUUGCUAUGUUGGCCAGAUUUGUCUUGAACUCCUGGCCUCAAGCAGCCCUCCACCUCCAUCUCAUGAAGUGCUAGGAUUACAAACAUGAGCCACCAUGCCUGGCCCUUAAUUUAUAAUUGUAUAGACCUUUAGGUUAUAAGGCUGACAUUAGCCUCACUGGGUUAGGAUCAAGGUGUCAGUGGGACUGUGUUUCUUUCUAGACAAUCUUGAGAGAAAUCAGUUUCCUUGCCUUUUUCAGUGUCAGGAAGAAAAUAUAAUUUUCUUCAUCCCUCAAAAGUUUGUAGUUGGGACAGACCCUUAUAAUAAAAGAGACAUCAUCAAGAGAAAAACAAUUUAUUUUAAAAUACAGGGCAUAUCGCACAGGACAAACCUCAGUGAAAAGUACAGUGGUCCUUUCUUAUCUGCAAGUGAUAUGUUCCAAGAUCCCCUCUAGAUGCCUCAAACUGUGGAUAGUACUGAAUUAGUGUACUAUCAGUACUGAAUUAGUGUACUGAAUUAGUGUAGCGAAUACCUACUGCAUUAGUGCAUUCUCACACUGCUAUAAAGAACUACUUGAGACUGCAUAAUUUAUAAAGAAAAGAGGUUUAAUUGCCUCACAGUUCCACCACCUGUACAGGAAGCACGGCUGGGGAGGCCUCAGGGAACUUACAAUCAUGGCAGAAGGUGAAGGGGAGGCAAACAUGUCUUCACAUGGCAGCAGAAGACAGAGAGUGAGGGGGGAAGUGCUACAUACUUUUGAACAACCAGAUCUUGUGAGAACUCACUAUUAUGAGAACAGUAGAGGGGAAAUCCAUCCCCAUGAUCCAAUCACCUCUCACCAGGUCCCUACCCCAACAUUAGAGAUUACAAUUCAGCAUGAGAUUUGGGUGAGGACACAGAGCCAAAUCAUGUCACCUGCAUAUGCUGUUCUUUCCUAUACAUAUAUACCUAUAAUAGUACAUUAGGGAAGAGUAAGAGAUUAACACCAAUAACUAAUAAUAAAAUAAG